rnacentral:rRNA from 1 species
AGAGUUUGAUCAUGGCUCAGGAUGAACGCUAGCUACAGGCUUAACACAUGCAAGUCGAGGGGAAACGACAUCGAGAGCUUGCUUUUGAUGGGCGUCGACCGGCGCACGGGUGAGUAACGCGUAUCCAACCUGCCCACCACUUGGGGAUAACCUUGCGAAAGUAAGACUAAUACCCAAUGACGUCUCUAGAAGACAUCUGAAGGAGAUUAAAGAUUUAUCGGUGAUGGAUGGGGAUGCGUCUGAUUAGCUUGUUGCGGGUAACGCCACAAGGCGACGAUCAGUAGGGGUUCUGAGAGGAAGGUCCCCCACAUUGGAACUGAGACACGGUCCAAACUCCUACGGGAGCA